rnacentral:rRNA from 1 species
UACGUAGGGGGCAAGCGUUGUCCGGAAUCAUUGGGCGUAAAGAGCGUGUAGGCGGCUCGAUAAGUCUGCUGUGAAAGUCCAGGGCUCAACCCUGGAAGGCCGGUGGAAACUGUCGGGCUAGAGUCCGGAAGAGGCGAGUAGAAUUCCCGGUGUAGCGGUGAAAUGCGCAGAUAUCGGGAGGAACACCAAUGGCGAAGGCAGCUCGCUGGGACGGUACUGACGCUGAGACGCGAAAGCGUGGGGAGCAAACAGG